CAUGUUACGACCUCUUGAGGAAAAAAGAUACAUUAUACCAUUUAAUGAACGAGGUGGAGGAUGUGCAGCUAUGAGAUCCAUGUGUAUAGGUUUGAUGUUUCCUUGUGAAGAUCAAAUUGAAAUGUUAAUUGAAAUUGCUGUUGAAAGUGGAAGGAUGACUCAUAAUCACCCCACAGGUUAUCUAGGGGCUGUUACUGCAGCUUUAUUUACAGCCUAUGCUAUACAGAAGAUGGCUCCAAAAAAAUGGGGAGCAGGACUUUUAAGUGUUUUACCCAAAGUUUGGGAAUACAUUGAGAAGGUUGGUCGUGAUGUAGAAGAAAACAAGAAAUCUUGGGGCUACUUUAAAAAUAGUUGGGAGUCAUAUCUUGAACUACGG